AUUACUUUGGCAGAAUAGUGCAAUGAAUUUAGAAUUCAUGAAUGUAAUUUUAUUACAGGUAAUA
rnacentral:tRNA from 1 species